rnacentral:rRNA from 1 species
GGCGGCGUGCCUAACACAUGCAAGUCGAACGAGGUAGCAAUACCUAGUGGCAGACGGGUGAGUAACGCGUGGUCAACCUACCGUUGAGUGGGGGAUAACUAGCCGAAAGGUUAGCUAAUACCGCAUACGAGUCUCGGGGGCAUCCCUGGGCCUUAAAAGGAGCAAUCCGCUCGAUGACGGGACCGCGUCCCAUUAGCUAGAUGGUGGGGUAACGGCCUACCAUGGCUCCGAUGGGUAGCUGGUUUGAGAGAGCGACCAGCCACACUGGGACUGAGAAACGGCCCAGACUCCUACGGGAGGCAGCAGUGAGGAAUUUUCCGCAAUGGGCGAAAGCCUGACGGAGCGACGCCGCGUGUGGGAAGAAGGCCUUCGGGUCGUAAACCACUGUCGAAGGGGACGAUAAUGACGGUACCCUUGGAGGAAGCCCCGGCUAACUACGUGCCAGCAGCCGCGGUAAGACGUAGGGGGCGAGCGUUAUUCGGAAUUAUUGGGCGUAAAGCGCUCGUA